UACGGAGGGGACUAGCGUUGUUCGGAAUUACUGGGCGUAAAGCGCGCGUAGGCGGAUGUGUAAGUCAGGGGUGAAAUCCCGGGGCUCAACCUCGGAACUGCCUUUGAUACUGCAAGUCUCGAGUCCGGAAGAGGUGAGUGGAAUUCCUAGUGUAGAGGUGAAAUUCGUAGAUAUUAGGAAGAACACCAGUGGCGAAGGCGGCUCACUGGUCCGGUACUGACGCUGAGGUGCGAAAGCGUGGGGAGCAAACAGG
rnacentral:rRNA from 1 species